AGUAACGCGUGAGCAAUCUGCCCUUAGGUGGGGGAUAACAGCCGGAAACGGCUGCUAAUACCGCAUAACACAUUGAAGCCGCAUGGUUUUGAUGUCAAAGAUUUAUUGCCUUUGGAUGAGCUCGCGUCUGAUUAGCUGGUUGGCGGGGUAACGGCCCACCAAGGCGACGAUCAGUAGCCGGACUGAGAGGUUGAACGGCCACAUUGGGACUGAGACACGGCCCAG
rnacentral:rRNA from 1 species